rnacentral:rRNA from 1 species
GAUUAACGCUGGCGGCGUGCCUAAUACAUGCAAGUCGAACGGAGAACUUUUGGUAAUUUAUUAUCAGAGGUUCUUAGUGGCGAACGGGUGAGUAACGCGUUGGUGACCUGCCCCGAAGCGUGGGAUAACCCCCGGGAAACCGGAGUUAAUACCACAUGCGAUCAUGAGCAUUAGAAAAUCAUGAUUAAAGGACUUCGGUCCACUUCGGGAGGGGCCUGCGUCCCAUCAGCUAGUUGGUAGGGUAAUGGCCUACCAAGGCAAAGACGGGUAGGGGACCUGAGAGGGUGGCCCCCCACAAUGGUACUGAAACACGGACCAUACACCUACGGGAGGCUG